ensembl:lncRNA
UCAUAUUCUAAGCCAUCCAAACAAUAAUGGAUGCUUCCAAACAUCGUAGGAAGCAUCCACAAAGACUGCCUGCAUCCAUCCAUUUUCUCCUAAUAGAUCACAAUUAAGUUAAUAGAACACAAAAAUGGAAUGUUGAGGUAAGUGGACUCAGUUGUGCAUGAUUACACAAAUAUUAAAAUGGUUUAUAUUUUAACCAGAAUAAAGGCAUUGUUAAAUUCAUCAACUUUAUGCAAGCACACGCACAUAAUCUUUUCAGACAUAUGAAAUCCACUGAAGUCAGAAUUUCUUUCAUACAAGAGAUUCUAUACUCCAUCCAGCACAUCAUUCUAUAUCUCAAUUUUCAUAAUGAAUAAACCCACUGAUAAAAAUAUAAAUGUAGUAGUGUCAGCAUAAACUUGAAGUGACUAAUUCCUUCAUGCACCUAAUAGCAAUACAUUUUCAGUGUACAAUACAGUACACUUCAAACUUCCUCCUUUAUCCAUAAUGAUUCUCCACUCCAUGAACUGUUUUUAUGAAGCAGCACAAAACCAAUAAAAAGGUUUGUGCAUCAAAACCCAAUAUCUGCUGUCCACUACUCUCAAAGGUAAGUGUGCAGAUGUCUACAUUAGUUUCAAAAUGGUUUAGUUGUGUAAACACUAUUUAUCAAGCAGUGAAUAUUCCAUUAAUGUAUUUUCAGAUUUCUGCAAUAUGCUACACUUCAAACUUCCUUAUCCAUAAUGAUUCUCCACUCCAUUAACUGUUUUUAUGAAGCAACACAAAACCAAUUAAAAAGGUAAAUUCCAUUGCAUGAUGUCUGCAAAUCUCGAAUUGACAUUUCUUCAAGCACUGCUUCACCUAAUAGCAAUACAUUUUCAGGUUUGUGCAUCAAAACUCAAUAUCUACUGUCCACUACUCCCAAAAGGUGAGUGUACAGAUGUCUACAUAAAGUGCUAAAUGGUCUAGUUGUGCAAACACUUGAAUUAUCAAGCAGUUAAUGUUCCAUGAAUGUAUUUUCAGAUUUUUGCAAUUCACUACACUUCAAACUUCCUUCUCCAUUAUAUGAUUCUCUGCUCCAUGAACUGUUUUUAUGAAGCCACACAAAACCAAUAAAAAGGUAAAUUUAAUUCCUAUAAUAUCA